AAAACACUGAAUUUGAUAGGUGGAAAACGAUGUUCCUGGUGUUUAUUUUUAGUGCAUGGGUUAUUUUACCAUUAUUCUAGAUGCAGUUUGAAGAAGCCCAUCUUGGCAGAUACGGAGAAAGUUGUUUUUACCUAAAUCAUAGAGAAUGAGUUACAUAUACUACAAGGAAGCAUUAAUGGAGGAGGAAGGUGAUGCUGAGCAGUAAACAUACAGAUGAUUCAUGCAAGCUAAAGGGAGAUAAUUUUUAAUUUACAUAUUCAGGAUAUUGAUUUUAAUUAGAUUAUGUAUUUCUCUCCAGAUAUUUUCAGCUUUUAUUGCUUUUGACAGUUUUUGAAUUUUUAGGUAGGCAGACUUCUACCAGUGUCUGUGGUUUCUGCUGUUGGUGUUUCAAUGAGGUAAGUGAAGGAUCUUGGUCACUUGUGUAAGAGUUUUACUGCCGUGAAUACUGUGAGGUAAGUAGUACUCUCCCUUUGUGUCUUUCUCAGCCUUUUUAUUGGAAGAGUUUAGGCAUUCUUUGUGCCUGCAUUUGCCUAAUACUUGCCAGGGUUGUUGGAAAUUUAAAUUGUCCCAAUCCAGGAUACUUGAACAGUCAUCUCCUGGGUAUUUAGAAUCCUCAAUUCUACUACUCCAAACAACUUUGAAGCCCAAUGGAUCUUUACCAGAAUAUAAUCGGGGGUUUAUACACUGUUACUUUGGUUGUGAUUAGGUAACUGUACCGUCUGGCCUGUCUAAGGAACAGGACUCUCCAGCAUUUGUGGUUUUCCGGUAGACCGCACUCAGCUGAAAGUAAGACUUCAGCUAGACACUAAGGCUCUGAUAAUAGAGGCCUUUGCCCUUCUAACAGACUAGAGGGCAAACCUUGAAAUACUUUCCAAACAGACAAUUCUAUUUUAACUUUAAAAGACCACGUACCUACUCUGGAUAAGUGCUUUGAGCACUUAUAGCAUAAGUGAGCACUUAUAGCAUAUUACUGAGCCCAAUCCUAACAUCUCUUUUACCUUAUUUCAUGUGUAGGAAGAAGAAACAAUUAUGGAUUUAUAUAUCUCCACUGCUAAGUAUUUCUGUAAAUUAUAAGCAACAACAUACACCAAAAACAAAACAAAACAAAAAAAACAGGUGCACAUGCACAUCUGUUUCUACAUGUACUCAAACUAAUGGACAUGGAAAACUGACUAAAGAAAAAUGCCUGUAAUUGACUUUAGUUGCAAGUGAGGACUCUUGAGAGGUGUGGCCUGAUGGAGUGGGUUUGCAGUGGCUCCACAGACACAGCACUGAAGGAAUCUGAUGCACACACCUUUUGGUAUUUUUAUUUUCUUGGUACUGGGGAUUGAGCCCAGGGAUGCUUUACCACUGAACUAUAUCUUCAGCUCCCCCUUUUGGAGACAUGGUCUUGCUGAGUUGCUGAUGCUAGUCUCAAACUCUGAAAUCUUCUUGCCUCAGCCACUCAAGUUACUGGGAUUA
rnacentral:lncRNA from 1 species